CUGUCAGUCACUCAGCCAGCCGCCGCCAGUGAGUCAUUCAGUUAUAUCCAGGAACCCAGCUUGUUUUCAAUCCCGACGGAUAAGUUAACAAAGCGCACAGACCACAGAGCUUGGAGCACACACCGUACCUGGGAGACAGGAGCAGUGGGGAGAAUGGUCUGCGGAAGCGCGCUUUCUUCGAGCUUUGCGCUAAGCCACUUUUGUGUGGUCCACGGACGCACCGAAGAUGCCCCAUUCAGGCCACACUGCAUUAAUGGGCAUGGGCGACAUUUCCCACUUACGAUUGCAGGCAUAUUAUGAAAAAUGCACAAUGUGCCAUCAACACACCGAGCUUAGAAGGAUGAAAGGGGCGAUGAUGGUGAAGGGGGAAUCCCAACGACGACUGUAACGACGUCAUCAGUGUUCUCGGUUGUCUCGAAACGCCCCCGUAGUCAUCAGCUUAAAGUUUUCUAGGCAGCCAGCAAAAGACGAAGACGCAGCAGGAUAAAGGACUCAGGACAACGCGGAAGGACACGGCAGCACGGACGAAACGCAACAAAGCCGUCACAGAUGAAGCACAAGGAGCAGAAAGGACCGGCGAAGGCGGCAGAUACAGAAAGGGCAGCAGUAACUCCUUAACACACUUACAUAAGAGUACACUGAACAAAACUGAAGCAAAAAGUUUAUAUAGAACUAGCUAGUGUUUGUUUAAGUUCCUGAUAGAAUUUUUCUAUCUAUAAGUAAAUAGCCUACCUAUGGACCUUGAAGUUUAUACUUAGUUCUUGAAGUUGAGUUCUUUUUUUCGCUGUGCACUUGACAAACUCACACGCGGCGGCUCAGGCGAAGGCAAUGACAAUACAAACAUCGAGUAACAGGGAAAAAUGGUCAAAACGGCGCAAGGACGAGCUUGGCAAAGAGUUACGGCUCCUGCUCCUUCGGUCUUCGUCCUGGUCCUGGUCCUGGUCCUGGAUGAGAGAGGAGCAUCGUAAACCGGCGACGGCAACAUGAAAAUCUUGUCAUAUUUUUCUUGUUUACUGUCAACAUCUUUGUACUUGAAGUCCCAUUAUGUUAAUUAUGAUGAAGUAAACAGGA
ensembl:ncRNA lncRNA:CR44059 long non-coding RNA:CR44059